rnacentral:misc_RNA from 1 species
GGUUGAGCGGUCUGUUGAUGGUCACAUAACUGAGAUCACAUAUAAUGGCCGUCACAACCAUGAUCAACCAACCAAACGAAGAAAAAAUGGUUCUGCUUUGGAUAAUACAGACUGCUUUGGAGUUCGACCAGAUAUUAGUACACAUGAUUGGACAGUAAUGAAUAGCUCGGAUGGGUCUUCUCCUUCUCGAUCUGACCAGGUUCCAACCCAAAUGGUAUCUGAACUUCUUGUGAAAAGAGAAUGUGAUGAAACCGAAAGCUAUUUGAUAGACGUAGAUGAUGAAGGGCAUGAUGAACCAGAUGCAAAGAGAACGAAGACGGCAAUUGAGACUGU